CCUACGGGCGGCAGCAGUGGGGAAUAUUGCACAAUGGGGGAAACCCUGAUGCAGCGACGCCGCGUGAGUGAAGAAGGAUUUCGGUAUGUAAAGCUCUAUUAUCAGGGAAGAAAAUGACGGUACCUGAGGAAGAAGCCCCGGCUAACUACGUGCCAGCAGCCGCGGUAAUACGUAGGGGGCAAGCGUUAUCCGGAUUUACUGGGUGUAAAGGGCGCGUAGACGGCAGUGCAAGUCAGGAGUGAAAGGCGGGGGCUCAACCAUCGGACUGCUUUUGAAACUGUACGGCUAGAGUGCAGGAGAGGUAGGUGGAAUUCCUGGUGUAGCGGUGAAAUGCGUAGAUAUUAGGAGGAACACCAGUGGCGAAGGCGGCUUACUAGACUGUAACUGACGUUGAUGCUCGAAAGCGUGGGGAGCAAACAGGAUUAGAUACCCCAGUAGUC
rnacentral:rRNA from 1 species